UGACAUUUACUAAAUAUUUGUCAAUUGAAAAAAAUAAAAAAUAAACCCGCGCUUUAAAAGCGCGGGUCAAAAUCUAGUUAUAUAUUAUUUUUAGAGAAAAAAAAAGAAUUGUUGCAUUGUUUUUCUUUUGAACAUUAUAAUCUUUGAAUGUUAAGGAAACCUUUGGUUAAUAGUGGAAACAUAUAUAUUACAUAUUCAAAUAAUAAAUUUAAGAGAACAAUAAAUGACCAAGUUAAGAUCUAUGUUAUUAAUGUACCACUAGAAUAAGAAAGCCCAUGGUGAGAUUUUCAAAAUAAUAAUUUAUUUGUAUUAAAAAGUAAAUGCAAUCAAUAUAUAUAUAAAAUUGUUUGGUUCACUCUGGGGGUGUCCACGUAGAAACUCACUCCUUGAUAGGUCGCCACGUGUCCAAAGGUUGUGAAACUCACCGUUUCAUUUAUUCCUCAUGGACUUUGUGUUAACACGGAUUUUAGAAUGCAGUUUUGAAAAAGCCCAACUUGAAAAUAGGUUAAGACAACUUGAAACGCAUCGUUUUCUGUUUCCUGGCGACGAAGCUCCAACUGUUUCGAUUCAUCUUCUUCCUCAGAGCUUGAUUUUCACCGGUUAGGCAUUCAUCUUCUUAAAGUACUCCUUGAUUUCAUCAUCCACGAUCUCCAUUUAUUGUAUGUUUCGCUCUUGCAAGGCGGUGGAGAAAUCUCAGUAUAAAAAGCCCGGCUGAUGUUCCUACACGAUUGAGGUGAUGUCGCUUCGUUUCUGGGAGGCUAGGAAUGUUAGGCAGGGUGAUGAACUCAAGACGAUGAAGAUCAAGGCUUAAAAUUAGGUGUAAUCAGAAUUUAGACUUUUAGACUCUCCUCUGUUGAUACGGUUCAGUGAUUCGAUCCGUUUUUAUGAGAAAUACAGUAAUGUUCUAUGAGUGAAAUCAAUUAAAACUUUUCGUUGAGAGACAAUAAUUUAAAAGUUUUACAUGGCUAUGGCUAUCGUUGUUUCUAUGUUUACUGAAGAGGAGACUGAGAGGUACAUAUCAUCUGGUUUGCUUUCUCCAAAUGUGGAGGCUAAGAUUGUGGAUCACGAUAUGGGUCGUGUCUUGGGGUUUGAUCAAACUGGCGAACUCAGGUUCCGGAGUCCUACUGUGAUGAAAGGUGUUUGCUUCUUCUUUAAAACGCAAUUCUUUUGUGUUUGGUGUUGGUAUGAAACUGUGUUGAGUUGCUUUUAAAGGUUAUUUCAAAAACGUAGAAAGCUACUGCUUCUACUAUUGAUUCAGAAGGAUGGUUGAAGACCGGAGAUGUGUGUUACAUUAACAGUGAAGGUUUUGUCUUUGCUGUUAGUAGAUUAAAGAAGCUAAUCAAAUGCAACGGAUAUCAGGUAAGAAACAAAAAAUUUACAUAUAAUCAACUUGUGUUUGAUCUUCUUAAUGUUUUAAAACUUAUAAAUUUGGUUAGAAGCAGUGUUGCUAGCUCAUCCAGAGAUUGCUGAUGCAGCAGUAAUACCUAUCCUGACAAGAAAGCUGGGCAAUAUCCAAUGGCAUAUAUCAUCAGAACAACUGGAAUCAACUUAUCCGAAAGUGAAAUCAUGAUCUUAGUCGCAAAGCAGGUAUCUCCAUACAAGAGGAUAUGUAAGGUCAGUCACGGUUUUGUCUUCGAUCCCCAAGAAUCCCUCUGGCAAGAUUUUAAGAAGAGAACUUAUAAAGCUCACAACCUCAAAGCUCUAGCAGGGAGCUGUGUCCACCAGCCUUAUCUCACACUUCACCAUUAGUUAACUCAUUUAUUUGGUUAAUUCCUCUAUAGAAAUCUCAGUCAAAACUGAAAUAUUACAAACUUAUCAAUUCUCUUACUGAAUCUCUGUUUCUCU